GAGACAGGUGCUGCAUGGCUGUCGUCAGCUCGUGUUGUGAAAUGUUGGGUUAAGUCCCGCAACGAGCGCAACCCUUAUCCUUUGUUGCCAGCGGUCCGGCCGGGAACUCAAAGGAGACUGCCAGUGAUAAACUGGAGGAAGGUGGGGAUGACGUCAAGUCAUCAUGGCCCUUACGAGUAGGGCUACACACGUGCUACAAUGGCGCAUACAAAGAGAAGCGACCUCGCGAGAGCAAGCGGACCUCAUAAAGUGCGUCGUAGUCCGGAUUGGAGUCUGCAACUCGACUCCAUGAAGUCGGAAUCGCUAGUAAUCGUAGAUCAGAAUGCUACGGUGAAUACGUUCCCGGGCCUUGUACACACCGCCCGUCACACCAUGGGAGUGGGUUGCAAAAGAAGUAGGUAGCUUAACCUUCGGGAGGGCGCUUACCACUUUGUGAUUCAUGACUGGGGUGAAGUCGUAACAAGGUAACCGUAGGGGAACCUGCGGUUGGAUCACCUCCUUA
rnacentral:rRNA from 1 species